GUCCUCAUAGCUUACAAAUCCCAAAGCACGGCACUGAAGAUGCCAAGACGGUAACCACCAUACCUGAGGACA
rnacentral:tRNA from 2 species